rnacentral:rRNA from 1 species
AGUCGAGCGGAUGAGAGGAGCUUGCNNNNGGAUUCAGCGGCGGACGGGUGAGUAAUGCCUAGGAAUCUGCCUGGUAGUGGGGGAAACGUUUCGAAAGGAACGCUAAUACCGCAUACGUCCUACGGGAGAAAGCAGGGGACCUUCGGGCCUUGCGCUAUCAGAUGAGCCUAGGUCGGAUUAGCUAGUUGGUGAGGUAAUGGCUCACCAAGGCGACGAUCCGUAACUGGUCUGAGAGGAUGAUCAGUCACACUGGAACUGAGACACGGUCCAGACUCCUACGGGAGGCAGCAGUGGGGAAUAUUGGACAAUGGGCGAAACGUGAUCCAGCCAUGCCGCGUGUGUGAAGAAGGUCUUCGGAUUGUAAAGCACUUUAAGUUGGGAGGAAGGGCCGUAGAUUAAUACUCUGCUGUUUUGACGUUACCGACAGAAUAAGCACCGGCUAACAUCUGUGCCAGCAGCCGCGGUAAUACAGAGGGUGCAAGCGUUAAUCGGAAUUACUGGGCGUAAAGCGCGCGUAGGUGGUUCGUUAAGUUGGAUGUGAAAUCCCCGGGCUCAACCUGGGAACUGCAUUCAAAACUGUCGAGCUAGAGUAUUGGUAGAG